rnacentral:rRNA from 1 species
AUUACCGAGUGAGGGCCCUCUGGGUCCAACCUCCCACCCGUGUUUAUUUUACCUUGUUGCUUCGGCGGGCCCGCCUUAACUGGCCGCCGGGGGGCUCACGCCCCCGGGCCCGCGCCCGCCGAAGACACCCUCGAACUCUGUCUGAAGAUUGAAGUCUGAGUGAAAAUAUAAAUUAUUUAAAACUUUCAACAACGGAUCUCUUGGUUCCGGCAUCGAUGAAGAACGCAGCGAAAUGCGAUACGUAAUGUGAAUUGCAAAUUCAGUGAAUCAUCGAGUCUUUGAACGCACAUUGCGCCCCCUGGUAUUCCGGGGGGCAUGCCUGUCCGAGCGUCAUUGCUGCCCUCAAGCCCGGCUUGUGUGUUGGGCCCCGUCCUCCGAUUUCCGGGGGACGGGCCCGAAAGGCAGCGGCGGCACCGCGUCCGGUCCUCGAGCGUAUGGGGCUUUGUCACCCGCUCUGUAGGCCCGGCCGGCGCUUGCCGAUCAACCCAAAUUUUUAUCCAGGUUGACCUCGGAUCAGGUAGGGAUACCCGCUGAAC